AUCGAGCUGAGGAUGUUAUCCAAGUAAGACUCUUGAGUGACAUUUGCCUUUCUGGCUCUGGGGUUUUGACUUCCUGCAAGGGUUUAUAAGAAUUUUUGAAAGGAUAAUGCAGGAGUUUUUCGUCGCAUUUUAUCACUUGAAAAAUUUUAUGUUGCUCAAAAUCUAGAAAAAUUGAAGCAGGAAAAUGGAAGUGAGUGUGACUCUUAGGAAUAGAGAGUUCUGGUGCUGUGUUUUGUGAAUGGCAGGAAAGUAGAGAAAAGGUGUGGAAAUUUUUAUUAAAACACUCAAUAUUUUUCAUCUUUUGGGGUGAUUAGUGAACUCAAAUAAAGAAUCUCAUAAAACAGUAUUUGUCUAAUGAUUAAGAUGGUAGUGAUUGAGAUUUCAAAGCCUUGGGAAGAUUUUGUUUACCCAAAAGUUAGAUUUGUGAUGUUGCCAGUGGAAUCUUGGUAAGAAUCAAAUGCUUUCUCAUGAGAAGUAGUUUUUAUUUUAAUUUUAUAUGACGAUAAAAGUUGAAUAAAUUUGUACACUAAUUAUAUUUGAUUCAAUAAAUAUCUAAUGAGAGCCAUUAAAAUGGAAGACGAACUCUAACUUUCAGUUAUAAGCAUAUGGAGGAAAAAAACUCCAAAAUGGAACACAUACAAAUAUAAUUGAGAAAUACGAAGUAUGUCAUUCCACUCAAUGUAUGAGUCUAGACAAAUUGUAUCCACAAACUUAGACGAUGAUAAUAAUUAUAAAGUACAUUUUAAAUUAGAUAAAAAUUAAAUGCUUAAUUACACUUGCAAGCCACUUAAAUAAAACAUUGUAAUACUCUAAUUUGGCUUAACUAUAUACUAGAGUUCAAGCUUGAGUCUACUGAAAUUGAGUCGAAUUUAAAUAUUUUGUGAAUCUAGUCCGAGUGGCUUGACUUAUUGACACUCAAGAAAAAUAACUCCAUUUUAAGUUCCUUGCAAGCAUAUUAGGAGGUAACAUUUGGUCAUGAGUAAUGGUAGAAGAACAUCAAUCAUCCCCUUAUACAUUGUGAGUUGGCUAAUAUUUGUAGGUCUUGGUUCUUUUCUUGUGUGGGAAGUAAUUGGUUUCUCCUUUGUAAGUGAAGGAGUUUUUAUUAGGAUGACAUAAUGAAUCAAAUUUAAAGAUAAAAGGAAGGCUUUAUGGUUUCUUGAACUAUUGGACAGAAACAUAAGAAGCAAGAACUUUUUGAUGGGGUAGAAACUCCUAUCUGUAGAUUGACUGAUAAUAUGUUAAAAGGUUUUGUGGAUGGGAUAACAUAGCAUUAGUUAUAGAUAAUUUUUGGUUUCUUUUCUAAUUAAAUGAAUGCAAGUAGAAAGUCUUUCUAUACACCUUUCAUACAGGAGGCUGUGCCCCUUCUGCUUGGGCUAAGAUACUAGGGAUAGGAUAGGAUGUGAUGCAAUCAAGGAAGUUCAAGAAGACUCAAUUUAGG
rnacentral:misc_RNA from 1 species